rnacentral:lncRNA from 1 species
GAAACGAGUCUGAUGAGGAACCAUAAGGUUGUGGGUUCGAUCCCUGGCCUGGCUCAGUAGGUUAAGGACCUGGUGUUGCUGUGAGCUGUGGUGUGGGUUGCAGAUGUGGCUCGGUUCUGGCAUUGCUUGUGGUGUAGGCUGGCAGCUGUAGCUUCGAUUCGACCCCUAGCCUGGGAACCUCCACAUGCCCUAAAGAGCCAAAAAAAAAAAAAAAGGAGUAGUGUGUGUGAUAAAGUAUCUUUUGAAGUUCUGGGAAAGGGGUAAUGAAACUCUUCAUCUUCUAAAAAUGUACUUAAACAGAUGUCUGUUCAAGGCCAUCACCCUGCUGGACCAUGGGAAGAAAGACAUCUAGGAAUCUUAGCCCUCUGCUUAUUUAUGGUUUAAAUUUGUAUUAAAUUAAGAAAAGUUAGCGCCUUAGUCCAGGUGCCUUUCUAACACAAGCCAUAGUCCUAAACAAGUUUUUUGGUCCUUUAGUCGUAGCUGGAAUGUCGCCAAGUUUUAUCUGACCAGGAAGCGCACCUGCCCCGAAGGCACUAAACUCAGGUGCUAAGGCACUUGGACCCCAGGUGCCCCGGCCCCCUGCCCCUCCUCUCCUGGUCCCCACCCAAGCCCUGGCAGACCUGGGGUGGGGAUAGUGGACCAGCAGCCUCCAGGACUCUCUCCUCUCCACCUGCCUCUUGAUGGGACCUUCAGUCUUCAGUCAAUCAACGGAUGCUGAUCAGACCCAACUGCAGGGGCCCAUCUUUGGGUAGGAGUGAGUCUUGUGAGGUCCUGGGCCUGGGAAGCGCUGGCUCAGCGGGCGCCUGCCUGGCCAGGCUGUGUGUCCUCCAUCAGAGCCACCCAGGAGGAUCUCCCGGCAGUGGCCCUUCUGCAAAGAACUGCAGCAUGGUGUCUGUGCUGGCCUGAGGGCUGGGUCUCCACCACUUCCCGGCGGGGCUCUUCCCCAGUGUUUUCAUCUGAAAAUGGGGCAGGUGGAUGGUAUCACCCGCCAGGCUUAAUCCAAGGCGGUUUCUGUGAAAACCAAGUGAAAAAAAUGGGACCAAACACCUGCACUUGGGAGCCACCGAGGCCUGUCGGCUCGGGUUGCUGCGCUGCGGUGACUCGACCGUUCCCAGGACUGUCAGUCCCGAGCCGUGUGGCCUGGGAGGCGCCAGGUCUCGGGCAGUGUUAGGAAGCUGACACCCUCCCAGGCUCCCAGGUCCCUUCUCCCAGUCCCUCCCGGUCUGAGUGGGGACCUCCAGGUGGCAGCCACCCAAACCUCCUCCAGGGCAGUCCCCGACAGGAAACUCAUCAUUCUCAGUAUCUUUUCCUUGAGGCUUUACUUUCAGAUGUUUCACCCAGAGAGCUCGUUUCAAUGCACUGGAUAUCCAGCCCCGUGAGGAGAGAGGAUCUGACCUUUCACUGGCCUCCAGAUGAGCCCGCGUCAGCUCCCGGAGCCCUAGGAUUUCAAGCGCUCACGGGCCCCUGGAUCCCCAGUUGGCUAAAUCCUAUUUAGACAGAAUCCUAUUUAGGAUUUAGUUUGCUAAACCCUAGCUCGCUAAAUCCUUUGCUAGAAUUUGAACAAAGCUCAGAAGAACUUCCCGUUCCUUCCCUGAAGGCGCCCCCUCCUCUGAUGGGGGGAUUAGUGGUGUAACAGCCGGGGGAGGGGGUGUGUGUGUGUGUGUGUUACCUCGGGCGGAGACCUUGAAGGUGGGCUUCCGGCCCCUCCCACAUCCUCCCUCCAGAGAUGGUCAGAGGCGCAUCUGAUUGACCUGCAAAGAUAUACAUGACAGUUUUAGUUAUACAUGCUACUAUGUAUAACUGUUUUAAAGAAAAGUUAUACCAAACUAAAUAUCUAAUAGUAGGAAAAUGACGUAAAAAUGUACACUGGACUGCUUAAUGGGACUACAGCGCAGCCCUUGAGAAUUUCUGCCUGGAGAACACUUAGGGUGGAAAAGUGUGCUAACCUGGAACUGUAAUGAGGACGAAACAGGAGUUCCCUGGUGGCUCUGAGGGUUAAAGAUCUGGUGUUGUCACUGCAUGUCCCUGCAGUGGAUCGGGUCGCUGCCAUGGUGCGCCUUUGAUCCCUGGCCCUGGGACUCCUAUACCCUCUGGUGCAGCCAAAAAAAAAAAAAAAAAAAAUCUAGAGUGGCUUAGUUACCGGUGAUGCACCUAUGUCAAGCUGAUUUUGGCAAAUAUACCAUAGUUAUGUAAGAUGUAAGCAUUAGAGAAACGGGGAAUUGUAUAUGGAACUCUUCUGUCUUUGCAAGUUUUUCUAUAAAUCUAAAAUUACUGCAAGACGAAAAAUCAUUUAAAAAUGUAAAUUUUCAUUUCAGACAGCAUGGAAUUCAGAAUAAAGAGAAUUACACAAGCUGAAGCGUUGUGCUUUGUAAUUAUAAUGGGAGCAACAGCCGAUGAAGAUAGAGCAGUUGUCAAUGUUGACAAAGCAGAAACACACAUCUCCCGCCCUUCUCCUGGGUCUGCAUCAAACAACAGCACACGUGACGAGCGUGUUUGGGGCCAGGGGCUAAGAAUUCAGUGGUACGUGUGGCAGGGCUGAGAGAGAGAGCACAUCUGUGUGGUUGGGCCACCCGUCUCGAUGCCAAAUAUGUGGUCUGAAUGGCCAGGAGGUUUGUCUUACAGGCAACUGCGUGAAUAAGUAAGCGCAUCCUGGAUCAUAAGCGCCAUAUCCCAAACGCGUACACAAUUUCAAAUAUGGAAGCAGAGAAGCUUAAGCCAUCUCUGUUGUAUUGAAGUAGAAUUAGUUAUGCCAGGAGUUCCCGUCGUGGCGCAGUGGUUAACCAAUCUGACUAGGAACCAUGAGGUUGCGGGUUCGAUCCCUGGCCUUGCUCAGUGGGUUAGGGAUCCGGCGUUGCCGUGAGCUGUGGUGUAGGUUGCAGAUGCGGUUCGGAUCCUGUGUUGCUGUGGCUGUGAUGUAGGCCGGCGGCUACAGCUCCAAUUAGACCCCUAGCCUGGGAACCUCCAUAUGCCGCGGGAGCCGCCCAAGAAAUGGCAAAAUGACACACACACCAAAAAAAUAGAAUUAGUUAUGCCAGUAGGAGCUGCUGGCUUUCGAUAUGCAUAGAUAAGAAAAUUGAUACAGAUGUGACUGGCACACAGGUAUGUUCCCUAGUUCUGUCCACUAAAGGGCUUGGGAGCAAUGACAGUCCAGUAGAGCCUGGAUUUUUGGUUUUAAUAUCAUUGUCCACUAAAGGACUCCUGAGAAAAACAGCUGCUUCCAGCCUGCGCAGGACAAAUAUAAACUGAGCCAGGAACAUCUUGUGCCAAAAAGUUGGGAAUGUGUCAAGACAACCCAGGAGAAGCUCCCGUCGUGGCUCAGCAGAGACAAAUCCGACUGGCAUCCAUGAGGAUGCAGGUUUGAUCUCUGGCCUUGCCCAGUGGGUUAAGGAUCCGGUGUUGCUGUGAGCUGUGGUUGCAGAUGUGGCUCAGAUCCCUCAUAGCCGUGGCUGCGGUGUAGGCCGGCGGCUACAGCUGCAAUUCAACCCCUAGCCUGGGAACUUCCAUGUGCUUCGGGUACAGCCUAAAGAGACUAUAUAUAUAUAUAUACACACAUACACACACACAUAUAUUUAUAUACACACAUAUAUAUGUAUAAUAGUUAAGGAUAGUUAAAAUAAAAAUAAUAGUUAGAAAUUAAAAGUGAAAAGGUUUGAAAAGCAUCAAAUUUAUGAAGCAGAACUUUGAGAUACAGGGAGAAACUGCACAGGAGUCCUAGACUGGCCUCUUAACCACAGGAGAUGAAACCGGCAGAGAGUGAGUCGGGAGGUGGCAAUCCUGAACAGCCGGCAGCGAAGUAGAUCUAACGGCUACAUGUCAAACUUCGCAUCUUGAAACGAAAUACACUUCUUUUUUUAAUGGCUGCACCCACAGCAUGUGCAAGUUCCUGGGCCAGGGACUGGAUCCAAGCCAGAGCUGUGACCUCAACCGCGGCUGCAGCAACACCAGAUCCUUUAACCCAUUGCGCCCGGCUGGGGAUUGAACCUGCCCCUCUGCAGCAACCUGAGCCUCUGCAGUUGGAUUCUUAAUUCACUGCGCCGCAGUGGGGACUCGUACACCUUCUCUUUUAGUGUCUACUAAAGAGUCAAAACUUUUGAUUGUGUUAUUUAUUAGUCUACUUGGAAAACCCCAGGAGAAUAAGUCUAGUGGAUGACGGUUUAUUUCUGUGAAAGGAUUCCAUUUUAAAUACACAGGCUUUAAGACAAGCCGCAUCAACCAGUUUGAGUCCCUUGAGCUGGUGGGCUACGAGCAUUUUUUGCCUUUAGAGUAUUUUGUCUCUGAAAUGACACAAAGAUGGGCAGCCCCCGUGCUUAUUUUAAGCUGCUGCUCAGAUUUGUCAGAUUGCUCCCAGAAAAUGCCUCAUUACCCUCUCUGUCUUUGUGCUGGCAAAGGGGAAGGUCAUUAAUUUUCAUUUCCAUUUGUGUAUUGGUGUUUCUUCCUCUGUGAAUGUCCUGAGUAUUUUAAAAGGGUAUUUGCUGCUUCUUUCAUUUUAAAAUUUUAAUUUUAUUAUCCCUUUUUUUUUUUUUUUUUGUCUUCUUAGGGCCACACCUGCAGCAUAUGGAGGUUCCCAGGCUAGGGGUCAAAUUGGAGCUAUGGCCACUGGCCUAUACCACAGCCACAGCAAAGUGAGAUUCAAGCUACAUCUGUGACCACCAUCAUGGCAACGCCAGAUCCUUAACCCACUGAGCCAGGCCAGGGAUCGAACCUGCGUCCUCAUGGAUGCUAGUCAGAUUCAUUUCCACUGAGCCAUGAUGGGAACUCCUCUUCUUAAAAUUUUAAAAAUACAUCUAUGAUAUUUUUAUAAAAAGUAAAAUCUACUUUGUCAUUUUCUAUUUUUAGUUGCCUACAUAAUAUUACUAAUUAAUAUGAAUGUUAUUUUAUAAUGAGAAACACUAAAUGUUAUAUUUUUUUUUCUUUUUUUUUUAGGGCAUAUGGAGGUUCCCAGGCUAGUCGUCGAAUCAGAGCUGCAGCUGCCGGCCUACGCCACAGCCACAGCAACACCAGAUCCGAGCUGUGUCCAUGACCUACACCACAGAUCAUGGCAAUGCUGGAUGCCCAACCCACUGAGUAAGGUCAGGGAUCGAACCUGCGUCCUCAUGGAUGCUAGUCAGAUUCGUUAACCACUGAGCCACGAUGGGAACUCCCUAAAUGUUACAGUUUUAAGUUGUUUUCCUAACCUUCUGUAUGUCUGCAGGUUACAGGUGGAUCUGCAGGAGCCUAAGGGACAGGAGGUGGGAACAGGGUCUGACAAGGGUUCUUGGCACGUUCGGCGGCGGAGGAGGCUGCUCUGCUCAGUGGCGGAGGGAGCAGCUGUCUUUGGAACCUGUUGAGGCCAGUCCUUCCAGACCUGUGUCCUCCUGUUUGAGGAGCCGCUUCAGGUGGGACGGACAGGCCAGGGGGCCUCAGAUCUGGGGUUGAAGAUGGCUUGUUCCAGGCUUUCAAAAUGGGUUAAGCAUCAGUUGAGAGGAGUUCGUGUCGUGGCGCAGCGAAAAGGAAUCCGACUCGGAACCAUGAGCUUGUGGGUUUGAUCCCUGGCCUUGGUCAAUGGGUUGAGGAUCCGGUAUUGCCACGAGCUGUGUUGUAGGUCACAGACGCAGCUCGGAUCUGGCAUUGCUGUGGCUGUGGUGUAGACUGGCAGCUGCACCUCCGAAUUGAUCCCUCGCCUGGGAACUUCCAUAUGUCAUGGGUGGGGUCCAAAAAAAGACAAAAAAAAAAAAAAAAAAAAAAAAAAAGAA